rnacentral:tRNA from 6 species
GGCCGAGAUAGCUCAGUCGG